rnacentral:rRNA from 1 species
CGAAGGGGGCUAGCGUUGUUCGGAAUCACUGGGCGUGAAGCGCACGCAGGCGGAUUGAUAAGUCGGGGGUGAAAUCCCGGGGCUCAACCUCGGAAUUGCCUUCGAUACUGUCUGUCUUGAGUCCGGGAGAGGUGAGUGGAAUUCCUAGUGUAGAGGUGAAAUUCGUAGAUAUUAGGAAGAACACCAGUGGCGAAGGCGGCUCACUGGCCCGGAACUGACGCUCAUGUGCGAAAGCGUGGGGAGCAAACAGGAUUAGAUACCCUGGUAGUCCACGCCGUAAACGAUGGAUGCUAGCCGUCGGGGAGCUUGCUCUUCGGUGGCGCAGCUAACGUAUUAAGCAUCCCGCCUGGGGAGUACGGUCGCAAGAUUA